rnacentral:lncRNA from 1 species
UAACAACAUACUGCAGGAGGGAGAGAGAGGCAGUGUGUUGAUAUGCUGUUUGUAUAAUAACAUCAUACUGCAGUAGAGAGGCAGUGUGUUGAUAUGCUGUUUGUAUAAUAACAAUAUACUGCAGGAGGAGAGAGAGGCAGUGUGUUGAUAUGCUGUUUGUAUAAUAACAACAUACUGCAGGAGGAGAGAGAGGCAGUGUGUUGAUAUGCUGUUUGUAUAAUAACAACAUACUGCAGGAGGGGAGAGAGAGGCAGUGUGUUGAUAUGCUGUUUGUAUAAUAACAACAUACUGCAGGAGGAGAGAGAGGCAGUGUGUUGAUAUGCUGUUUGUAUAAUAACAACAUACUGCAGGAGAGAGAGAGGCAGUGUGUUGAUAUGCUGUUUGUAUAAUAACAACAUACUGCAGGAGGAGAGAGGCAGUGUGUUGAUAUGCUGUUUGUAUAAUAACAACAUACUGCAGGAGGAGAGAGAGAG